CUCUGCUCUGUUUCAGCUUCAGGGGCGUGUUGAGUGCUAUGAACCACGUGACCUUCACAAACAAGAAAUCUCCAAGUACAUCAAUGGUGGACAGUUCUGCGGUAAUACAGCCAACCGUUGGAUCUUCUGCUCUUUCUUAAAGAGACUUGUGUCUCCAGGCCACUCAGUUUGGGAAUGAGGAUUCGAGGAGUAACCCCAGAGUUGAGAUCCCUCUCGAACUCCAGCAGCUGC